CCCGCACAAGCGGUGGAGUAUGUGGUUUAAUUCGAUGAUACGCGAGAAACCUUACCAGGGUUUGACAUCAACGAUGAGUCGUGAGAGAUCAUGGCGCCCUUCGGAACUCUUUGCAAGGUGCUGCAUGGUUGUCGUCAGCUCGUGCCGUGAGGUGUCGGGUUAAGUCCCAUAACGAGCGCAACCCUUAUCGUUAGUUGCCAGCGGGUAAUGCCGGGAACUCUAGCGAAACUGCCGGUGUAAACCGAGAGGAAGGUGGGGAUGACGUCAAAUCAGCACGGCCCUUAUGUCCAGGGCUACACACGUGUUACAAUGGCCGGCACAGAGGGCAGCUACCUGGAGACAGGAUGCGAAUCUCGAAAGCCGGUCUCAGUUCGGAUCGGAGUCUGCAACUCGACUCCGUGAAGCUGGAUUCGCUAGUAAUCGCGCAUCAGCCAUGGCGCGGUGAAUACGUUCCCGGGCCUU
rnacentral:rRNA from 1 species